AGGUUAAGCUAUAAAGAGCAUAGGGUGGAUGCCUAGGCACUGAGAGCCGAUGAAAGACGUGAUAAGCUGCGAUAAGCUGCGGUAAGGAGCAAAUAUCCAUUGACCCGCAGAUUUCUGAAUGGGGAAACCUACGCAAGAAGACCUUGCGUACUCAUACAUGAAUACAUAGUGUAUGAGAGGGAACCCGGGGAACUGAAACAUCUAAGUACCCGGAGGAAGAGAAAGAAACAUCGAUUUCCUGAGUAGCGGCGAGCGAAAGGGAAAGAGCCCAAACCAGAGGAUUUAUCCACUGGGGUUAGGACUGCAUAAUUGAUCUGCAAUUGAUAGGAGAACGGUCUGGGAAGUCCGGCGAGAAAGCGUGAAAGCCGCGUAUCCGAAAUCGAAAGCAGCAAGGCAGGAUCCAGAGUACCACGAGACACGAGAAACCUUGUGGGAAUGAGCGGAGACCACUCCGUAAGGCUAAAUACUACUCAGUGACCGAUAGCGCAUAGUACUGUGAAGGAAAGGUGAAAAGGACCCCGGGAGGGGAGUGAAAGAGAACCUGAAACCCUGUGUUUACAAGCUGUCGAAGCACGCAAGUGCGACGGCGUACUUUUUGUAGAACGGUCCGGCGAGUUAUGAUGAGUGGUAAGGUUAAGGACUUAAGGUCCGGAGCCGAAGCGAAAGCGAGUGUUAAAAGCACGNNNNNNNNNNNNNNNNNNNNNNNNNNNNNNNNNNNNNNNNNNNNNNNNNNNNNNNNNNNNNNNNNNNNNNNNNNNNNNNNNNNNNNNNNNNNNNNNNNNNNNNNNNNNNNNNNNNNNNNNNNNNNNNNNNNNNNNNNNNNNNNNNNNGAAUCGCUUAUCAUAGACCCGAAACCGGGUGAUCUAUCCAUGUCCAGGUUGAAGCUGCCGUAAGAGGUAGUGGAGGACCGAACACACAUCCGUUGAAAAGGGUGGUGAUGAGGUGUGGAUAGGGGAGAAAUUCCAAUCGAACCCGGAGAUAGCUGGUUCUCCUCGAAAUAGCUUUAGGGCUAGCCUCUGGUUAGUCUGCCGCAGGUAGAGCACUGAAUUUCCUAGGGGGCGUCAAAGCCUACCGAAGAAUAUCAAACUGCGAAUGGCGGACAGAUGAUGCCAGGGAGUCAGACUGCACGAGAUAAGUUGGGUGGUCAAAAGGGAAAGAGCCCAGACCUACAGCUAAGGUCCCAAAGUGUGUGUUAAGUGGAAAAGGAUGUGGGAUUUCGAAGACAACUAGGAUGUUGGCUCAGAAGCAGCCACACAUUAAAAGAGUGCGUAAUAGCUCACUAGUCGAGAGGUCCUGCGCCGAAAAUGUCCGGGGCUAAAACACAACACCGAAGCUUAGGAAUUCUUUUGAAUUGGUAGAGGAGCAUUGAAGACGGAACGAAGCCAUACCGAAAGGAAUGGUGGACUGUCUUGAAGAGAGAAUGCCGGAAUGAGUAGCGAGAUUGAAGUGAGAAUCUUCAAGGCCGAAUAUCUAAGGUUUCCAGGGUAAAGCUGAUCUGCCCUGGGUAAGUCGGGGCCUAAGGCAAGGUCGAAAGACGUAGUCGAUGGAUAACAGGUUGAAAUUCCUGUACUGCAUCAAAUCAGAAAUGUGGGGACACAUGAGGGAAGCAUGAGCCGGAAAAGGAAAGUCCGGUACAAGCGCAGCAGAGGACAGAUAGGCAAAACCGUCUGUCAACUCGAGGGCGCGAUGUGGAGCGAACCAAAGUAGCGAAGCAUGUGGAGCUUGUGUCGAGAAAAGCCGCUAUUGUGUUUGAUGUACCCGUACCGUAAACCGACACAGGUGGAUGAGGAGAGAAUCCUAAGGCCGGCGGGAGAAGCAUUGUUAAGGAACUCGGCAAAAUGACCCCGUAACUUCGGGAGAAGGGGUGCUCCAGAGAUGGAGCCGCAGAGAACUGGCCCAAGCAACUGUUUAGCAAAAACACAGGUCUAUGCAAAACCGAAAGGUGAGGUAUAUGGGCUGACGCCUGCCCGGUGCUGGAAGGUUAAGAGGAGAUGUUAAUCGCAAGGUGAAGCAUUGAAUUUAAGCCCCAGUAAACGGCGGCCGUAACUAUAACGGUCCUAAGGUAGCGAAAUUCCUUGUCGGGUAAGUUCCGACCCGCACGAAAGGCGUAAUGAUUUGGGCACUGUCUCGACAAUGCACCCGGUGAAAUUGAAAUACCAGUGAAGAUGCUGGUUACCUGCGCCAGGACGGAAAGACCCCAUGGAGCUUUACUCUAGCUUGAUACUGGGGUUCGGUAUUGCAUGUACAGGAUAGGUGGGAGACUGAGAAGAUGUGUCGCCAGAUGCAUCAGAGUCGAUGUUGGGAUACCACCCCUGCAGUACUGGGCUUCUAACCUGCAGCCGUGACCCGGCUGGGGGACAAUGUCUGGUGGGGAGUUUGACUGGGGCGGUCGCCUCCGAAAGAGUAUCGGAGGCGCUCAAAGGUUCCCUCAGAAUGGUUGGAAACCAUUCGAAGAGCGCAAAGGCAGAAGGGAGCUUGACUGCGACACCGACGGGUGGAGCAGGUACGAAAGUAGGACUUAGUGAUCCGGUGGUAUGAAAGUGGGAUUGCCAUCGCUCAACGGAUAAAAGCUACCCUGGGGAUAACAGGCUUAUCACUCCCAAGAGUUCACAUCGACGGAGUGGUUUGGCACCUCGAUGUCGGCUCAUCGCAUCCUGGGGCUGUAGUAGGUCCCAAGGGUUGGGCUGUUCGCCCAUUAAAGCGGUACGCGAGCUGGGUUCAGAACGUCGUGAGACAGUUCGGUCCCUAUCCGGCGUGGGCGUAGGAUAUCUGAGAGGAGCUGUCCUUAGUACGAGAGGACCGGGAUGGACUGACCUCUGGUGCACCGGUUGCAUUGCCAAAUGCAUAGCCGGGUAGCCAAGUCGGGACGGGAUAAACGCUGAAGGCAUCUAAGCGUGAAGCCCCCCUCAAGAUGAGAUAUCCCAUAACGUAAGUUAGUAAGACCCCUUGAAGACGACGAGGUAGAUAGGCAGAAGGUGGAAGUGUGGUGACAUAUGGAGCUGAUCUGUACUAAUAGGUCGAGGGCUUAACCAAG
rnacentral:rRNA from 1 species